rnacentral:rRNA from 1 species
CCUACGGGUGGCAGCAGUGGGGAAUAUUGCACAAUGGGGGGAACCCUGAUGCAGCGACGCCGCGUGAGCGAAGAAGUACCUCGGUAUGUAAAGCUCUAUCAGCAGGGAAGAAAAUGACGGUACCUGACUAAGAAGCCCCGGCUAAAUACGUGCCAGCAGCCGCGGUAAUACGUAGGGGGCAAGCGUUAUCCGGAUUUACUGGGUGUAAAGGGAGCGCAGACGGCCGUGCAAGUCUGGUGUGAAAGGCGGGGGCCCAACCCCGGGACUGCAGUGGAAACUGUAGGGCUGGAGUGUAGGAGGGGUAGGUGGAAUUCCUAGUGUAGCGGUGAAAUGCGUAGAUAUUAGGAGGAACACCAGUGGCGAAGGCGGCUUGCUGGACGAUGACUGACGUUGAGGCUCGAAAGCGUGGGGAGCAAACAGGAUUAGAUACCCUUGUAGUC